rnacentral:rRNA from 1 species
GACGAACGCUGGCGGCGUGCUUAACACAUGCAAGUCGAACGGAAAGGCCCCUUUGGGGGUACUCGAGUGGCGAACGGGUGCGUAACACGUGAGUAACCUGCCCUUGACUUCGGGAUAACUUCAGGAAACUGGGGCUAAUACCGGCUAGGAAUCCUUGCUGCAUGGUGGGGGUUGGAAAGCUUCGGCGGUUUUGGAUGGCCUCUCGGCUUAUCAGCUUGUUGGUGGGGUAGUGGCUUACCAAGGCUUUGACGGGUAGCCGGCCUGAGUGGGCGACCGGCCACAUUGGGACUGAGGGACGGCCCAGACUCCUACGGGAGGAAGCAGUGGGGAAGAGUGCACAAUGGGCGGAAGCCUAAUGCAGAAACGCCGCGUGCGGGAUGACGGCCUUCGGGUUGCAAACCGAUUUCAGCAGGGGCGAAGCUUGUGGUGACGGUACCUGCAGAAGAAGCACCGGCUAACUACGUG